GACAAACGCUGGCGGCGUACCUAAGACAUGCAAGUCGAACGGGCGCUGGACCUUCGGGUCCGGUUGCGAGUGGCGGAUGGGUGAGUAACGCGUAGGAACCUGUCCUUCUGUGGGGGAUAACAGUGGGAAACCGCUGCUAAUACCGCAUGUGGUCAGUCAUCGAGAGGUGAUUGAAGAAAGGCGCAAGCCGCAGGAGGAGGGGCCUGCGUCCGAUUAGCUAGUUGGUGUAGUAAGGGUGCACCAAGGCGACGAUCGGUAGCUGGUCUGAGAGGAUGGUCAGCCACACUGGGACUGAGAUACGGCCCAGACUCCUACGGGAGGCAGCAGUUAGGAAAUUUUCACAAUGGGGGAAACCCUGAUGGAGUAACGCCGCGUGAGGGAAGACGGCCUUCGGGUUGUAAACCUCUUUUCUGUGGGAAGAGUAGAAGACGGUACCACAGGAAGAAGCCUCGGCUGACUACGUGCCAGCAGCCGCGGUAAUACGUAGGAGGCGAGCGUUGUCCGGAAUUACUGGGCGUAAAGAGCGCGUAGGCGGCACGGUACGACCUGUGUGAAAGCCCCCGGCUCAACUGGGGAGGGUCACAG
rnacentral:rRNA from 1 species